rnacentral:rRNA from 1 species
GCUUAAUUUGACUCAACAAGGGGAAACUUACCCGGCUCGGACACAGAAAGGACUGACAGAUUAACUCUUUGAAAACCGAAGCCUUCGCUAACCUGUAUGCUUGAAGUACCGAACAGCUCGAAAUCACUUUCCAGGUUGGUUGUGGUCGUUUGAAUGAAGGGCCGUCUGGUGAGUUCUGGUCUUCAAAGAGUUAAGAGCUGUUUCUUGAUUCUGUGGGUGGUUCUUAGUUCGUGGAUGC